GACAGAGGGGGCAAGCGUUGCUCGGAAUUACUGGGCGUAAAGGGCGCGUAGGCGGGAUGGCAAGUCGGUCGUGAAAUCCCUCGGCUCAACUGAGGAUCGUCGAUCGAUACUGCCGUUCUUGAGGAUUGCAGAGGAGACUGGAACUCCCGGUGUAGCGGUGAAAUGUGUAGAGAUCGGGAGGAACACCGGUGGCGAAGGCGGGUCUCUGGGCAAUUCCUGACGCUGAGGCGCGAAAGCGUGGGGAGCAAACGGG
rnacentral:rRNA from 1 species